rnacentral:rRNA from 1 species
AUUGAACGCUGGCGGCAGGCUUAACACAUGCAAGUCGAGCGGAGAUGAGGUGCUUGCACCUUAUCUUAGCGGCGGACGGGUGAGUAAUGCUUAGGAAUCUGCCUAUUAGUGGGGGACAACAUUCCGAAAGGAAUGCUAAUACCGCAUACGCCCUACGGGGGAAAGCAGGGGACCUUCGGACCUUGCGCUAAUAGAUGAGCCUAAGUCGGAUUAGCUAGUUGGUGGGGUAAAGGCCUACCAAGGCGACGAUCUGUAGCGGGUCUGAGAGGAUGAUCCGCCACACUGGGACUGAGACACGGCCCAGACUCCUACGGGAGGCAGCAGUGGGGAAUAUUGGACAAUGGGCGGAAGCCUGAUCCAGCCAUGCCGCGUGUGUGAAGAAGGCCUUUUGGUUGUAAAGCACUUUAAGCGAGGAGGAGGCUCUCUUAGUUAAUACCUAGGAUGAGUGGACGUUACUCGCAGAAUAAGCACCGGCUAACUCUGUGCCAGCAGCCGCUGUAAUAC